rnacentral:rRNA from 1 species
UCCGUAGGCGGAAUGGAAAGUCAGAUGUAAAAGUCCUGGGCUCAACCUGGGAAUGCCAUUUGAAACUGUCAUUCUAGAGUAUAGGAGAGGAAAGGGGAAUUUCUGGUGUAGCGGUGAAAUGCGUAGAUACCAGAAGGAACACCAAUGGCGGAGGCAACUUUCUGGCCAAAUACUGACGCUGAGGGACGAAAGCAUGGUUAGCGAACA